UACAGAGGGGGCAAGCGUUAUUCGGAAUUAUUGGGCGUAAAGGGCGCGUAGGCGGCUUUGCAAGUGACGGGUGAAAGCCCUCGGCUUAACCGAGGAACUGCCUGUCAGACUGUGAGGCUUGAGACCGGGAGAGGUGAGUGGAAUUCCCAGUGUAGCGGUGAAAUGCGUAGAUAUUGGGAGGAACACCAGUGGCGAAGGCGGCUCACUGGACCGGAACUGACGCUGAGGCGCGAAAGCGUGGGGAGCAAACAGGA
rnacentral:rRNA from 1 species